UUCCAUGUUGUCUCACCUGGCCUUCAUGA
rnacentral:piRNA from 1 species